UGGGGAAUUUUGGACAAUGGGCGCAAGCCUGAUCCAGCCAUGCCGCGUGCGGGAAGAAGGCCUUCGGGUUGUAAACCGCUUUUGUCAGGGAAGAAAUCUUCUGGGUUAAUACCUCGGGAGGAUGACGGCACCUGAAGAAUAAGCACCGGCUAACUACGUGCCAGCAGCCGCGGUAAUACGUAGGGUGCAAGCGUUAAUCGGAAUUACUGGGCGUAAAGCGUGCGCAGGCGGUUAUGCAAGACAGAUGUGAAAUCCCCGGGCUCAACCUGGGAACUGCAUUUGUGACUGCAUGGCUAGAGUGCGGCAGAGGGGGAUGGAAUUCCGCGUGUAGCAGUGAAAUGCGUAGAUAUGCGGAGGAACACCGAUGGCGAAGGCAAUCCCCUGGGCCUGCACUGACGCUCAUGCACGAAAGCGUGGGGAGCAAACAGGAUUAGAUACCCUGGUAGUCCACGCCCUAAACGAUGUCAACUGGUUGUUGGGAAGGUUCCUUCUCAGUAACGUAGCUAACGCGUGAAGUUGACCGCCUGGGGAGUACGGCCGCAAGGUUG
rnacentral:rRNA from 1 species